rnacentral:lncRNA from 1 species
UUUUAGUUCCUCCUAAAAUUUCUGUCACAUCGAAUGUUUAGAUACUAAUUAGGAGUAUUAAAUAUAGACUAAUUACAAAACCAAUUGCACAGAUGGAGACUAAUUUGCGAGACGAAUCUAUUAAGCCUAAUUAGUUCAUGAUUUGACAAUGUGAUGCUAUAGUAAACAUGUGCUAAUGAUGGGUUAAUUAGGCUUAAUAGAUUCGUCUCGUGAAUUAGCCUCCAUCUGUGUAAUUAGUUUUAUAAUUAGCUCAUAUUUAGUCCUCCUAAUUAGCCUCUGAAUAUUCGAUGUGACAUAAAUUUUAGAAGAUCCUAAAGAUCCAAACACCCCCUUACUCCUUUACUCCUCACCGGAGUUUGGAGACACCCCAUUGAAGAAGUUUGAUGCCGAACCAAC